ACAAUGGACUUAGUUUCAGACCUUAUCCUUAUCUGAAGUACAAAGGUCUAAAGUUUGUCUAUUGUCU
rnacentral:precursor_RNA from 1 species